GUUUGCCAACGCAAAGUUAUGGCUUGGUCAGCUGUAAGUAACCUUUUGGGUGAACAGAUUUUCCGCUACAGCUAGCUAGUUAUCCCUUCCGACCCGACGUUGACAGCAAACUACUGAAACAACACACAUAAAAUGUUGCUACAUUCUAAAUACCGCAUAGUGUUUGUGGAUUGCGUGCUAGCCAGCAAGAUAGCUGUACCAACCCAGCAAUAACUAUGUAUGCGCGGUUUGCAAUGGAUAACGUUCGCUAGCUAAGUAUGCUAUUGCUAGCUGGAAUAUUCGUCAUGUCGACUAGUUAUCAUCCUCCCUGCUUCCCAGGCAACCAUCACAGGAGGAAUGCUGUAAUACAAAAACAGCUUUCCCAAGGCAAAGAAGGAUAUGCUGUGAAGUCUGUGAAGACAGACCCAACAUUCUGCUACGCAGACAGGCUCUUGGAUCAAUGUCCCCCUUGAUCCAGCGCCGUAUGUGGGGAAGCUGUGCGAGCUAUCUCCCCCAUGUAAGAGGCCUGACAAGGAGGCCAUAGCUGGAUUUGUCUCCCGCUUCAGUCUUGGGGGGGUGACUGAAACCAAGUGGGUGACUGACGCCUGCUUGAUUGAAGCGGGGUACAUGGGUCCCCCUCCUCUCCCCAUCAAUCUUUGUAGUUGGUUGCAUUUCCUAAACCCUUAGUAAUUCACUUUACUUGAUAUCACAUAAUUUUGUUACUUUUUAUAUAAUUUUUCAAGCAUUCGGACUGGAGAUUUGUGUUACAAAUUGAACGAAUCAAUGGGUCCUGCGCACUGUAGGGACACAAGGGCGGCCGAGUGCCUAUACUAGGCUUAUGGCUGUAAUUAUAUUUUUAUGUCAAAUGUCUCAACAUUAUUUCUCACUUUUUUCUCAUGUUGAUCAAUAUUUUGGAUAUGCUAGCCUAUUGUAAAUGAUCAAAUGUCUGAUCAAUACAUACAAUUCUGAAUAUAGUCAUUUACAAUGCUAAUGCAGAGGCACCAAUAAAUUGUCCAGUCCACUUAUUGUA